UUGCUUUCUUUGACAGCAUAUCUACCAAACUUUGAAUGAUACAGAUUAGUACCAAAGCCCCUGUGCAAGGAGACACAUAAAUUUGUGAAGUAUUCAAUAUUGUU